AAUUUUAUUCGUUCAAUUUUUCAGAUUCUUAGUAUGUUACAUGAGUCGAUUGAACUUACGAGAUUAAUGCAGGCUCCUCUCCGGCAGCUUCUCCGCCUAAAGGAUCGUCUACACCUGGUACACCGUCACCCACGGGUUCACCACCAUCUACUGGAGGUACGCCGGAUCAGAAUUUUAAUUUUAUUCGUUCAAUUUUUCAGAUUCUUAGUAUGUUACAUGAGUCGAUUGAACUUACGAGAUUAAUGCAGGCUCCUCUCCGGCAGCUUCUCCGCCUAAAGGAUCGUCUACACCUGGUACACCGUCGGCACCUUCAGCUAAUGCUCCGGCAGGAUCAUCUACACCGGGUGCGUCGUCACCUAAUGGGGCACCAGUAUCUACUCCUGCAGGUAAAUUAUAAAUGAAUUUGGAAUUUCAAUUUGACAGAUUCCAUGUUUUGAUUUCGUUCGAUUUUUAACGUAUUGCACUUUUGAAAUAGUGAAUUGAAUCAUAUAGUUUAUCUGUUUGUUCAGGUAAAUCACCAACCUCAUCACCAACACCUUCCGGUUCAACCGCAUCUCCACCAGCUCCUGCGACCGGAGGAUCCGUAGCUCCGGCAAUGUCUCCGGUAGCUAAUGGACCGUCAACUAGUACUCCAGGUUCUUCUUCACCGGUGGCAGGCGGACCAUCGUCUGGAAGCAGUAUGGCA
rnacentral:lncRNA from 1 species